ACUCCUACGGGAGGCAGCAGUGGGGAAUAUUGCACAAUGGGCGCAAGCCUGAUGCAGCCAUGCCGCGUGUGUGAAGAAGGCCUUCGGGUUGUAAAGCACUUUCAGUCGUGAGGAAGGUAGUGUAGUUAAUAGCUGCAUUAUUUGACGUUAGCGACAGAAGAAGCACCGGCUAACUCCGUGCCAGCAGCCGCGGUAAUACGGAGGGUGCGAGCGUUAAUCGGAAUUACUGGGCGUAAAGUGCAUGCAGGUGGUUUGUUAAGUCAGAUGUGAAAGCCCGGGGCUCAACCUCGGAAUUGCAUUUGAAACUGGCAGACUAGAGUACUGUAGAGGGGGUAGAAUUUCAGGUGUAGCGGUGAAAUGCGUAGAGAUCUGAAGGAAUACCGGUGGCGAAGGCGGCCCCCUGGACAGAUACUGACACUCAGAUGCGAAAGCGUGGGGAGCAAACAGGAUUAGAUACCCUGGUAGGAUAGCG
rnacentral:rRNA from 1 species